GACAAGGUGGCUGAAUGGUCAAGGCAAUGGAUUGCAAAUCCAUCGAUUAUGAGUUCGAAUCUCAUCCUUGUCU
rnacentral:tRNA from 1 species